rnacentral:misc_RNA from 1 species
UAAGCUAUCUUCCAGUCAACUACAUCUUUGGGCGUCAAUAUCUUUUCUAAAGUUGAAGCCGUGUUUUUUUUUCUUUCUUUACUCCCCAUCGCUAUCGGCUGUUUGGGUCGCGCUCUUCUCAGAUCAAACAAGAUUAGACGCAACGAGCGGCAUCAUAUUCGGCCAUCAUGGCGCACAUGGAACGCUUCCAGAAGGUGUACGAGGAGGUUCAGGAGUUCCUACUCGGCGAUGCGGAGAAGCGCUUCGAAAUGGAUGUCCACCGCAAGGGCUACCUAAAGUCUAUGAUGGACACUACGUGCCUCGGCGGCAAGUACAACCGCGGCCUCUGUGUCGUGGACGUGGCGGAGGCGAUGGCGAAGGAUACGAAGAUGGAUGCAGCUGCGAUGGAGCGCGUUCUGCACGACGCGUGUGUGUGCGGCUGGAUGAUCGAGAUGCUGCAGGCCCAUUUCCUUGUGGAGGACGACAUCAUGGACCACAGCAAGACUCGCCGCGGCAAGCCGUGCUGGUACCUGCACCCCGGCGUGACCACGCAGGUGGCCAUCAAUGACGGUCUCAUUCUGCUGGCCUGGGCGACGCAGAUGGCGCUGCACUACUUCGCCGACCGCCCGUUCCUCGCCGAGGUGCUGCGCGUUUUCCACGACGUCGAUCUCACUACCACGAUUGGUCAGCUGUACGACGUCACGUCGAUGGUAGACUCAGCGAAGCUGGACGCCAACGUGGCGCACGCCAACACGACCGACUACAUCGAGUACACACCCUUCAACCACCGCCGCAUCGUUGUGUACAAGACCGCCUACUACACCUACUGGCUGCCGCUGGUGAUGGGCCUGCUGGUGAGCGGGACAGUGGAGAAAGUGGACAAGGAGGCGACGCACAAGGUGGCCAUGGUGAUGGGCGAGUACUUUCAGGUGCAGGACGACGUGAUGGACUGCUUCACUCCGCCCGAGAAGCUUGGAAAAAUCGGCACCGACAUUGAAGACGCCAAGUGCUCGUGGCUCGCCGUCACCUUCCUGACGACCGCUCCGGCCGAGAAGGUCGCGGAGUUCAAGGCUAACUACGGUUCCACCGAUCCGGCCAAGGUCGCAGUUAUCAAGCAGCUUUACACCGAGCAGAACCUGCUCGCCCGCUUCGAGGAGUACGAGAAGGCCGUUGUGGCGGAGAUCGAGCAGCUCAUCGCUGCGCUGGAGGCGCAGAAUACCGCCUUCGCGGCUAGCGUGAAGGUGCUUUGGAGCAAGACUUACAAGCGCCAAAAGUAAGGUGUGGUGGAAACGCCUGCCCCCUGCCCCCCUCCCCCCCCGUUCGCCGGCUCCUUUCCUCGGCCUCCGUCCGAGUGCAUGUGACGCGGGGGAGAGGCUGAGGGGUGCGCGAGGUGAUUUCGGUUCUAUUUUUUUAUGCAUACUUUUCGUUUAUGUAAGCAACCAUGUCUACAUGUCCGCAGGCGUGAACAUGCAACCACCCUCUUCCCCACACCCUCCCCCGGAAACGAGCGCAACGUUUGCAGCUACCGUACUGCAAUCACUAGCGUGCGCGUGGAUUGCACGUAUGUGUGUGUGUGUGUGUGGGCGUGGGUGCGCGUUUCUUGGAGGGAGGGAGGGGGAGGGGGAGAAGGAGUGAGGGAUGCAGGCCACCGCGCGAUCAUCAAUGCGUCGUGCAGUCUUCGAGUUCGUGUUUCUUUUGCUUCUUGGUCGUGUCUCUCUGCCUUUCAGUCCACUUUCUCUGGCUCUAGAGGAUUCGAGGGAAAGGUGCAUGUGUGUUUGUGCGCGUGUGCGUGUGUAUAACAGCGCCACCCGCAAACACACACACACACGCACACG